GAGGAGAAACCCCCCCACAACAAGCACAUCACCUGUGUACUGCUUCAUGAAUUUGACAAUGCAAGCUGGGAACAGGAGCGCGGCGAGAUGCACAAUGCUUUAUAUACAGAGUCAAAGUCAUAUGUGUUUGUUUAUACUGGUGGAAAAGAAAUAUUGCAUGGAAACAUGGAGGAAUAUGGUUGAUAAAGAUACCUUUUAUGAGCUGUCUGGAAGAAUAUUGGACAAGGGCCAGGAGAUAGUGAAUGAAUUUAUCUUGGAAUAGGCUUACUUGCUGACCUGGAUGGUGAUGGAUGAUACUGUUUAUUUACGGAAGAAAUCAAGACCCCAUGACCCCACCCGCCAUGUCCAGCUGGCUCUGGAUAGUGUGAAGGAGGAGGGAACUCCCCCAACGCCAAGGAAAUACAAGAAGCGAGAUGAUGGGCGGCCAAGGGUCCAGAUACGGAUCGGGGAUGAUGAAUCUGAUGAGGAAGGAGACAAGGUGGACUGUGGAAGCGAUGACCCGAACGAGAAUGGUGAGUACAACACAAUAUUUGAAAUAAAAUGUGAGGUAUCUGAUGUUUUUGUAGAAUUAUUUCUUUGAGGAACAGGCAUAAACUUCUUUUUUAACGAAGAAAAAUUGGUUAUUUGAUAGGUACUAAAUACAAAAUAUAUAACAGUAAAGCAAUUAAAAUGUUUAUGGGAUAAUGGGAGUUAGUCCUGCUGAGAUAUUGUCUUUGUAUAAUGUGGUAAUGUUAUUACUUCAUUCAUUUGGUGGUGGCAAUACACCCCCUACCCAUGUUAAUUCGUCAAGAAAUAAUCUUUUGGCUAUAGGAGGUUUGCCUAUUUUCUUUUGCCUCUGAAUGAAUGCAGAUACACAAUGCACAUCUGAAUAUGUGGGAAGCUUUGUUAUGGUAUUUUCCUUGAGCCAAGUGAACAUGCAAUGCCAUUCAAAACCAGUGAAGUGAAACCCCAGAAUGAAACCAUUCCUAAAUCUACAGUGAAGUUUAGUCUGUAAAUCAGUACACAGUUCUCAAUUGAAUAAAAGGUCUCCAAGGAGCUUAUCACCUCUGUAUAUACUGUAUAGGAUACUUACAAUAUUGUGAUGCAGUAAAGCAUAUCAGUGGAGGUUUUUAUCUCUUUGUGUUUGAGGGGAUUUUGCAAAACUAUGUAGUCACCUCUUUAAUGGAACUUUUAUCUGAGAGUUUCAAUCAGUGGAUAUUUUUAGGUUUUGCAGAACUGGUGUUGAAAGUCCACCAGUUCUUCAUUGAAUUUGCUAAUCAGCAUUUGUUUGCACUUUAAAUGGUUUGAUGAACAAGUUGCUGGUACUCAUGUGUUCUGUGAAUGUUUUAGCCUGCGGAAGUAACUUGCUGUGUUGUUUGUGUACAAUGUUUGAUGGUUGGUUGUACAAAUGAAGGACAAAUCAUGAUUUUGUAAUGUGACCAAAUGCAGUGUUUGUAGUUAGCUUGCACUGGGAUUUAACUGUGGACCAGAAUCAGUGUACAUCUAGAUUUGAGUUCUGAUCAAAUUCUCAUUGGAACUGAUGUUUUCAUCACAAGGAAGAAGCAAAUACAUCCUAUA